AGCAGAUGAAAGCAUACAAAAGCCUUCAGGCACAUAAAUAUUUUACAAUUUGUUUUGAAUGGAGAAAAAAUUGUUAAUCAUUUCCUGAUUUCCAUAUUAUUGUUGGAAAGGUGAAGCAUUUCCAAAAAGCUAAUGAUAAACAACUAAAUGCUUGGGUGAGGUGAUAGCCAGUUCUGAUGACAUAGCAAAUGCACAUUGUAUGCGUAUGGCCGGUAAUAGUGAAGUCUGCAGCCAUAUUGCAGCAAUCCUAUUUUUAGCUGAGUAUGCCCAGAGCAAGACAGAC
rnacentral:lncRNA from 1 species